CUACUGUUUCCUUUCUGUUAUUUUACCGGCCAUUAGAGACUGGGUUUCUUGAGCUGGUUUCUUGGAUUUCCGGUUUGAAAAUGAUUACAUCCACUUCAUCAAAUAACUUGUUUUCUNNNNNNNNACUACUGCAUUAGCCAAAACCCAGAUCUUUCAUAAGCUCUUGAAAGGGUUCUUUUUGUUUUCAGAACAUAAUACAUAUAUAAUAUGUUUCAUAGGCCC
rnacentral:misc_RNA from 1 species